rnacentral:rRNA from 1 species
UGGGGAAUUUUGGACAAUGGGCGAAAGCCUGAUCCAGCCAUGCCGCGUGCAGGAUGAAGGCCUUCGGGUUGUAAACUGCUUUUGUACGGAACGAAAAGACUCCUUCUAAUAAAGGGGGUCCAUGACGGUACCGUAAGAAUAAGCACCGGCUAACUACGUGCCAGCAGCCGCGGUAAUACGUAGGGUGCAAGCGUUAAUCGGAAUUACUGGGCGUAAAGCGUGCGCAGGCGGUUAUAUAAGACAGUUGUGAAAUCCCCGGGCUCAACCUGGGAACUGCAUCUGUGACUGCAUAGCUAGAGUACGGUAGAGGGGGAUGGAAUUCCGCGUGUAGCAGUGAAAUGCGUAGAUAUGCGGAGGAACACCGAUGGCGAAGGCAAUCCCCUGGACCUGUACUGACGCUCAUGCACGAAAGCGUGGGGAGCAAACAGGAUUAGAUACCCCAGUAGUCCCUGAGCGGGCUGGCAAGGCGCAU